ACUUCCACUGUAGAGUGAUAAUCUGUGAUGCUAGACAGCCAACAUCAGACUUCCUUUGUGCGAGGAGAUGUAUUCCCAGAAGAGAGCGGCUUGAUCGGAGUGUUGAGACACGCAUGCAUGGGCACGUGGCUUCUGGAGCAGUCAUUCUGGAAAGGAAAAUGUGAAUGUGAUACUACUAUUCAGCAAGCUAAAUACAGGAAAACAUCUUGAACCCAACCUACUCUCCAUACAAAGAUGGAAAAAUGAUCACUUCAAGCUAUCGUCUGUCCCUCUUGUUCAUUAACUGCAAGCGAAAUCUGAAAAGGUACAACAUGCAGUACAAGGAAA